UCGCUUCUUUCCCCCAAGCCUCGGCUCUCUUUUUUUUCUUUGCAAAAGAAUCCUAUUGCAGGUGAUCAAAAUUGAGACGCUUCGAAAUGGACUCGUAUUUAUGACGGCUGCAGUGUCCUGGGGCCAUUUGUUCCUCUUUUAUGACCAUCUGAUUAGCAAAGUCAAUGGGGAAGAAAUUGCUUUGCGAGAAGUUAGA